rnacentral:rRNA from 1 species
GAUGAACGCUGGCGGCGUGCCUAAUACAUGCAAGUCGAGCGAACAGAUGAGGAGCUUGCUCCUCUGACGUUAGCGGCGGACGGGUGAGUAACACGUGGAUAACCUACCUAUAAGAAUGGGAUAACUUCGGGAAACCGGAGCUAAUACCGGAUAAUAUAUUGAACCGCAUGGUUCAAUAGUGAAAGACGGUUUUGCUGUCACUUAUAGAUGGAUCCGCGCCGCAUUAGCUAGUUGGUAAGGUAACGGCUUACCAAGGCAACGAUGCGUAGCCGACCUGAGAGGGUGAUCGGCCACACUGGAACUGAGACACGGUCCAGACUCCUACGGGAGGCAGCAGUAGGGAAUCUUCCGCAAUGGGCGAAAGCCUGACGGAGCAACGCCGCGUGAGUGAUGAAGGUCUUCGGACCGUAAAACUCUGUUAUUAGGGAAGAACAAAUGUGUAAGUAACUAUGCACGUCUUGACGGUACCUAAUCAGAAAGCCACGGCUAACUACGUG